GACAGAGGGGGCAAGCGUUGCUCGGAAUCACUGGGCGUAAAGGGCGCGUAGGCGGGAUGGCAAGUCGGUCGUGAAAUCCUUCGGCUCAACCGAAGAACGUCGGCCGAUACUGCCGUUCUUGAGGGAUGCAGAGGAGAUUGGAAUUCCCGGUGUAGCGGUGGAAUGUGUAGAGAUCGGGAGGAACACCAGUGGCGAAGGCGACUAACUGGACAAGUACUGACGCUGAGGUACGAAAGCGUGGGGAGCAAACAGG
rnacentral:rRNA from 1 species